rnacentral:rRNA from 1 species
UACGAAGGGGGCUAGCGUUGCUCGGAAUCACUGGGCGUAAAGCGCACGUAGGCGGAUUGUUAAGUCGGGGGUGAAAUCCUGGAGCUCAACUCCAGAACUGCCUUCGAUACUGACGAUCUCGAGUCCGGGAGAGGUGAGUGGAAUUCCCAGUGUAGCGGUGAAAUGCGUAGAUAUUGGGAGGAACACCAGUGGCGAAGGCGGCUCACUGGACCGGAACUGACGCUGAGGCGCGAAAGCGUGGGGAGCAAACAGG